CGCAUCUGUGCAUGCAGCAUAUCAAUAAGCGGAGGAAAAGAAACUAACAAGGAUUCCCCUAGUAACGGCGAGUGAAGCGGGAAGAGCUCAAAUUUGAAAUCUUAAAGGGUUUCCCUUUACGAAUUGUAGUUUAAAGAAGUGUUUUCUGUUGAGGUUUUGGUAAAAGUUCUUUGGAAUAGGACAUCAUAGAGGGUGAGAAUCCCGUAUUUGACCUUUACUUUCAACUUUGUGAUACACUUUCAAAGAGUCGGAUUGUUUGGGAAUGCAGUCCAAAAUGGGUGGUAAAUUUCAUCUAAAGCUAAAUAUUGGCGAGAGACCGAUAGCGAACAAGUAUCGUGAGGGAAAGAUGAAAAGAACUUUGAAAAGAGAGUUAAACAGUACGUGAAAUUGUCAAAAGGGAAGCGUUUGACACCAGUGUUGUUUUUCUGAAAAUCAAUUAAAGAACUGUUUAUGCUAAGCUGUUUAGACUUUAUCAGCUAACUGUUUAGUUUUGAGCUUUUCUUUAAUGCACUUUUCAGUUAACAAGUCAACAUCAAUUUCUUUUGCUGUAAAAAAGCUUGAGGAAGGUGGCUUGAGAUUCGUCUUAAGUGUUUAUAGCCUCUUGCCUAUGCAGUCGGAGAGAUUGAGGUCUGCAGCGUAGAUCCUUCGGGGCUAAAUGCAUUUGUGCUAAGUUAUAGCAUUUUAUAGACAACUUGUUGACUAUGAUUUGUCUUGUAGCUUACUCGCUUAUGUUAUUUUACCUACGCUUAGGAUGUUGACGAGACUGUCGAUCUC
rnacentral:rRNA from 1 species